AAAAAAGUAUUCUCUCUUCAUUCUUGGAGUAAAAACUGAGAACCAGGUGGUUUGCUCUCAUGAACCAAAACUGGUUAACUACUAAUAUUCAUGUGCCGAUACAAAUAUUCUCUGAUUGCACCACAAAUGUUGGGUCAUUCACAAUUUUGUUUCCACCUACGAUAUCUUGUACUAAUGGUGCUUUUGUUGGUUUCUGUAAAUUGGCUGGUGGACAGAUAGUUGGCUAUAUUGCUGACAGAUAGCUGGUUGCACAAUUACCUGUUGAUAAGGCGAUUGAACUGUGGGGUUUUAGCAGGGAGUUUGAAGUCCUAUUUGGUGCCAAGCUCCUAAACUGAGAAGGCACAGUAGGCACACAAGUAACUAUUGUUUCUAUGCUCCAAACUUAGAUGUUCUAAGCUCUCCAUGAUUAGGAAAUAUCUAUUGUUUCUGUGCACCAAAUCCAAGUUGCAGGUACCUCCAAGUUUUUAUUUAAUGUUGUUAAUCUACUUCAAUAUCGUCUAGCUACAAGUUGAUGUGAAUCUAUGAUUGUGUUAUAUAGGGCUUCAAUCCUAGCAUUGGUCACGUGUUAUGACAGUGUGGUCGAGCAUGAGAUUUGAACCACUAAUUGUGUUAUGUCGAGCUUGUAUAAGCUAUCCUUUAUUAUCUAUCCUUAUUAUCUUCAGAUACAUGUGAUCAGCGAUCAUCUAUAGAGUAAUUUGAACUCUAUGUGCUGUAGACUUUUUACUCAUAACCUCCACAUUCCUAAACUUAUGUUUUUUAAGUUUGAGAUGAUGAUGUGCUUAUGUGAAGUUAAUGCUGACAACAAUACUAUUGGAUGGUAAGCUAAGAUAUUUCAUUUUCAACUAAUAUCAUAUAGAUACUUGGUUAAUUGAGAAUUAGUCAGUUGUGUAUUGCACAACUAAGAAGCAUACAAGUGUUUAUGCCUCUGAUAUGUUUGUCACCUUUUACUGGUCUAGAAUCGAUGAUAACAUUAGCUUUCUUAGCCAUAAGAGUUUUUUGUGCUUCCUUCUAUAUCACUAUUUGUUGGGAACUUUGCGCUUUUAACUAUGGUGGAGCAAUAUGGGCAUGUCGGCGCUACAGAAAGUUGUAGCAGCGGUAGUCCACGAUGUCAACGCUGAGGGCUGGGAUCGAGGAUUGGAGGGGUGAGAGGCGGGCCCGACGACGGUGGGGGUGGGCGUGGGCGUGGAGGAGUGUUCGGUGCUGCGGGAGGUGGUGGUGGCAGCGUAGUCCAUGGCCAUGAUGAUGUGUCUCCAGCUUGAGAAGGCCGAGGUCCAAAUGGAGCUCCACCAGUUCCACUGAGUUUUGCUUAAGUCUUCUGGAUGGCACACUCCUGUCGUACCACAAAUCAGAACCAAUGCGUCAAUAGGCACCGUAGUUGAUAAUAAUAUCUGCCACCCAACAGAAUUUGAUUUCUUCCUGUGCAUCCAUGCUGGGGCCAAGGGAACAAGCCGUCCUACGCAUUACCAUGUGCUACGAGAUGACAACAAGUUCACCGCAGAUGCUCUGCAGUCUCUAACAUAUAACUUGUGCUACAUUUUCAGUGCGCAGAUCAUCCAGGGCGGACCUAUAAGAUGUCAAGUGUGUACGCCCCAACAACCCACAGAUGCGGCUCGACGCUCUCCAUCGUCUGGUAUACCAGGAUAGGCUUCAAGAGAGGCUAA